rnacentral:lncRNA from 1 species
ACAUGCCUUGGGAGCUAAGUGGUUGCUGCCCUUGACCACUGUGAAGACUGGUGUGGGAAGGGUCGUUUUGGAUGCACUUGAGCAGGGGUCCCCAACCCCUGAGCCAUGGAGCCGCAAGGAGCCACACAGCAGGAGGUGGGAACAUCCAGUUGCAGGAAAACAAGCUUAACACGCCCACUGAUUCUACAUUAUGCUCCUACCUCCCGGCAGCCUCUCCAGGCCCAGAACUUUCUCCAGUCAGCCUCUACAGACCAAGCUCAUGACUCUCAAUGGCCUAUUUAGGCCCAUACCCUACGUCACGGCAGCCUCCGCAGAUGAGGCUACUGCCUCACAACAGCCUCCACAGGCACAGCUCCAUCGUUACAAUGGCCUCUUUAGACCCAGCUCCUGCCUCCCAGCCUUCUCUCCAGGCCCUGAACUUUCUCAGUAAGUUCAGGUAGCUGGGACUGUAGGGUCUCCCUCUGUUGUCCAAGGCUGGAGUGUAGUAGUGCUAUCGCAGCUGACUGCAGCCUCAACCUUCCAGGCUGAAGCGAUCCUCCCACCUCAACCUCCCACGUGGCUGAGACU